GCAUCCAAUGCAAUCAAUGCCAUUAAAACACACUAAUUGGGCAAUUAACGCACAUGCAAUAAAGAAUAUGAGGUGAAUAUUAAAACUCAUAGUAACGUUUGAAUCACGCACUUUCCCCCCCUCGAUUAACAUAGUCCUCUCACUACUACUCCCUCCUCCGUGCCGGAGGCGGUCCUCGUCGGCAAAGGUUCUCAAGAAAAUAAAUCAGCACCAUCACUCCCCUUAAAAUUACGUCUUGAUCACGAAUCUAUAACAAAAACUUCCUAACUGUGUAAGAAUCAAGCGAAUCAACAUGGAAUCUCCACGAACCCUAAUGUUGGAAACUUAAAUUAAAUGGAAACGAAGGUGAACCAAGCCACCACACGUCGGGUCUUCGAUUCCCCUCGUGCAACUCUACAACUUGGUAACUUCAAAAUGCGAAAAAGGAAGAAAAAUAUUAGAGUUUUAUCGAAAUUUCGCCGGCGUCAGAUAUGCAGAGCUUGCUUGGACAAUGGAUUUGGGAUGGAACUGCUUGGGAUAUAUUAUGUACACCAAUAGGCUAUGAUUGGAAUGCAAUUUUGGAUUAUUGUAUUGAAAUGGUUCCAUGUAUUUGUGUUUGUUUUGAGGGUUGAAAUUGGAAUGUCUGGUAUGAAUUCUGAAAUUGGAAAUUGAUGGUUGAAUAUAUGAAAUUUGUAAUGUAUGUACUUGUAGGUUUGAAAAUUGCCUUAAAAGGGUUUAUAAUUUAGAAUGAAA